rnacentral:rRNA from 1 species
UUUCUGCAUUUCUGACUUUCGACUUUUCUGCAAGGCCAUCCAUCAACGACCACAGUUCCUGGGAAGCCUUGGAUUCUUCUAUCUUUGCUGCUCGCCACUCUUCCAUUUUUGAGUUUCUGCCGUCGGCACUACCAACCUUCUUUCCGUCGAUAUAUAUAGCGGUGGGAAGAGUCACCUUCUGCACGCCCAGCCACCUUGUUGGCUGGUCUUCAUCCCAACCCGGU